GAGGAUUUGGCUCAGUGGUAGAGCGCUUGCCUAGCAAGCGCAAGGCUCUGGGUUCGGUCCCCAGCUCA
rnacentral:tRNA from 1 species